GAUGACAUCAUAGGUGACACUAUUGAUGACAUCAUAGGUGAGACUAUUGAUGAUAUCAUAGGUGACACUAUAGAUAACAUCAUAGAUGACACUGUUGAUAACAUCAUAGGUGACACUAUUGAUGACAUCAUAGGUGACACUAUGGAUAACAUCACAGGUGACACUAUAGAUAACAUCAUAGGUGACACUAUAGAUAACAUCGCAGGUGACACUAUAGAUAACAUCAUAGGUGACACUAUAUAUAACAUCAUAGGUGACACUAUAGAUAACAUGUAGGUGACAUCAUAGGUGUCACUACAGGUGACAUGUAGGUGGCAUCAUAGGUGGCACUACAGGUGACAUGUAGGUGACAUCAUAGGUGGCACUACAGGUGACGUGUAGGUGACAUCAUAGGUGGCACUACAGGUGACAUGUAGGUGACAUCAUUGGUGCCACUACAGGUGACAUGUAGGUGACAUUAUAGGUGGCACUACAGGUGACAUGUAGGUGACAUCAUAGGUGGCACUACAAGUGACAUGUAGGUGACAUCAUCGGUGGCACUACAGGUGACAUGUAGGUGACAUCAUAGGUGGCACUACAGGUGACAUGUAGGUGACAUCAUAAGUGCCACUACAGGUGACAUGUAGGUGACAUCAUAGGUGCCACUACAGGUGACAUGUAGGUGACAUCAUAGGUGGCACUACAGAUGACACGUAGGUGACAUCAUAGGUGGCACUACAGGUGACAUGUAGGUGACAUCAUAGGUGUCACUACAGAUGACAUGUAGGUGACAUCAUAGGUGGCACUACAGGUGACACGUAGGUGACAUCAUAGGUGGCACUACAGGUGACACGUAGGUGACAUCAUAGGUGGCACUACAGUUGACACGUAGGUGACAUCAUAGGUGGCACUACAGGUGACACGUAGGUGACAUCAUAGGUGGCACUACAGGUGACACGUAGGUGACAUCAUAGGUGGCACUACAGGUGACAUGUAGGUGACAUUAUAGGUGGCACUACAGGUGACAUGUAGGUGACAUCAUAGGUGGCACUACAAGUGACAUGUAGGUGACAUCAUAGGUGGCACUACAGUUGACACGUAGGUGACAUCAUAGGUGGCACUACAGGUGACACGUAGGUGACAUCAUAGGUGGCACUACAGGUGACACGUAGGUGACAUCAUAGGUGGCACUACAGGUGACAUGUAGGUGACAUUAUAGGUGGCACUACAGGUGACAUGUAGGUGACAUCAUAGGUGGCACUACAAGUGACAUGUAGGUGACAUCAUAGGUGGCACUACAGUUGACACGUAGGUGACAUCAUAGGUGGCACUACAGGUGACACGUAGGUGACAUCAUAGGUGGCACUACAGGUGACACGUAGGUGACAUCAUAGGUGGCACUACAGGUGACAUCAUAGGUGGCACUACAGGUGACACGUAGGUGACAUCAGAGCGUGGAAGACGGCAGGUAGAAGUGCAGAGUUAAAAAGAUGUACAAAAGAAAAAUGUCAUCUAUGUUUUCUAUUUCUAUUUUUCUACGCAUGUUUUGGUGUAAAUUAUUUUUCUGAUGUUGUAUUUUCCUGCCAUGAUGACGUCAACCAAUCAGUGAUCAUCUUGUCUGUGAUGUCAUAGACAUGUUUCCUGUGAUAUGUCAGUGGCAUGCUAACUGUCUCCACGUGCACGCGCUCCUCAAUAAUAAUAAUCAUCAUAAUCAGAUGACAGCUGUCAAUCAAACUUGUGUCUGUGUUUGUGUGAUGGAUGCUCGCUGAGUGGCUCCACAACCACUUUACUUUUCUUUCAUUUGUUAUCUUCUUUUUGUCUUAUUUUUGUAUUCUUUUUGUCUUAUUUUUAUGUUCCUUUUGUCUUUACUUAUGUUAUUUUUAACUUUAUUUUUUUUAUGUUCCUUGUGUCUUUAUUUUUAUGUUCUUUUUUGUUUAUUUUUAGGUCCUCUUUUAUUUUUUAUGGGUUUUUUUGUUCAUUUUUAUGUUCUUUUGUUUUUAUUUUUUAUAUUAUUUUUGUUUUUAAUUUUGUUUUUUUUGUCUUAUGUUUUGUUUUCUUGUUUUUAUUUUUUGUGUUCCUUUUGUUCAGUUUUCAUGUUCUUUUUUGUUUACUUUUUAAUGUUUUUUUCUUCCUUUCUAUGUGUCUGUUGUUUAUAUUUAUGUUCUACUUGUGGACUUCUUCUUGACAAUUAAAAUGACCUCUGACCUCUCCA